ensembl:lncRNA
CCACAACAAAAACGCAUUUGAAGAGAGAACGGCAUAUUCUCAGAAAUGCACCUUCACAAUAUAGACACCCCGAGGAGCCGAUGGGAGCAGGGCUUGCGGCCGCCAUGGGUCACCCGAUUGGCUGGAGGGCAAAGCCCCGCCUCUUCAGGGGUGGAGUCAGACACCGAGAGCAGCAGCACAGAGAGUGAGAGGUCUCCAGCCAAACGUUUGGAGGCGCGGUCACCGAGGAUCCUACUAUUGCCCUCCAUGCUGCAACAGCGAAUCACAGAGAUCGACCAGCAGAGGGAGGAGCUAAAGAUAGAGGUGAGACACCGAUGGAUUAAUGAAUGAACCAAGUUAAACCCUGAUUGUGUCUCAUAUCAAACCAUUUUUAUGAAGAGUGGUGG